rnacentral:rRNA from 1 species
GAUAAACGCUGGCGGCGCACAUAAGACAUGCAAGUCGAACGGACUUAACCAUUAGUUUACUAUUGGAGCGGUUAGUGGCGGACUGGUGAGUAACACGUAAGCAAUCUGCCUAUCAGAGGGGAACAACAGUUAGAAAUGACUGCUAAUACCGCAUAUGCCUAAGUAACACAUGUUACAAUAGGGAAAGGAGCAAUCCGCUGAUAGAUGAGCUUGCGUCUGAUUAGAUAGUUGGUGGGGUAACGGCCUACCAAGUCGACGAUCAGUAGCCGGUCUGAGAGGAUGAACGGCCACAUUGGGACUGAGAUACGGCCCAGACUCCUACGGGAGGCAGCAGUGGGGAAUAUUGGGCAAUGGGGGAAACCCUGACCCAGCAACGCCGCGUGAAGGAAGAAGGCCUUCGGGUUGUAAACUUCUUUUACCAGGGACGAAGAACGUGACGGUACCUGGAGAAAAAGCAACGGCUAACUACGUG